AGUACGGAAACUACGUGGCAAUGAUGCAUGUGAACCUGUGAAUAGUCAGUCACCAGACAAUGCAAUCACCAGCAGCAGAGUACGGAAACUACGUGGCAAUGAUGCAUGUGAGCCUGUGAAUAGUCAGUCACCAGACAACGCAAUCACCAGCAGCAGAGGUCGCCUGGUGGUACAGAGAUGGAUGUGAG